AGCAGUCGCCGCGGGAAUACGUAGGUCCCGAGCGUUGUCCGGAUUUAUUGGGCGUAAAGCGAGCGCAGGCGGUUAGAUAAGUCUGAAGUUAAAGGCUGUGGCUUAACCAUAGUACGCUUUGGAAACUGUUAGACUUGAGUGCAGAAGGGGAGAGUGGAAUUCCAUGUGUAGCGGUGAAAUGCGUAGAUAUAUGGAGGAACACCGGUGGCGAAAGCGGCUCUCUGGUCUGUCACUGACGCUGAGGCUCGAGAGCGUGGGUAGCGAACAGGAUUAGAGACCCCUGUAGUCCCUGUCUCUUAUACC
rnacentral:rRNA from 1 species